rnacentral:lncRNA from 1 species
AUGUGUUGUAAUGGGGUCCCGUUGCAGGCUCUGUGCAGUUCCGUGUGUGGGGUCGUUGCCACUCGCGCCGUGUUUGAGGCCGUCGGGGUCGGGGACGGAGCAGCCACAUGCCACCGGAGCCACCUUCACAUGGUUACUUGCGAGGUCACAGCCCCAAAUCCUUCUUUUUCACCCCAAAAUGACCCAAAAUGGCCCUUUUUCACCCCAAAAUGUUCCAAAAUGGCCCAUUUUCACCCCAAAAUGCCAUUUUUAACACCAAAAUGCCCUAAAAUGGCCCUUUUUCACCCCAAAAUCCCCCUUUUUC